AUGUACCAGUUUAAUCGAUUUAUCGAGAAACCGCGAACGGCUCAUUACAAUGGCCAUGAUUUACUUGAUCUUGAUUAAUCCUAAAUGGAUAACUGUGGAAAAUCUAGAGCUAAUACAUGCACUAAAGCUUUGACCUUACGGAAAAGCGCAUUUAUUAGAACAAAACCACGCGGCUUCGGCUGCUUUUUGUUGACUCAGAAUAACUAAGCUGACCGCAUGGCCUCAGUGCCGGCGGCGUGUCUUUCAAGCGUCCACUUUAUCAACUUGACGGGAGCAUAAUCGACUCCCGUGGUUGUGACGGAUAACGGAGGAUAAGGGUUCGACUCCGGAGAAGGGGCCUGAGAAAUGGCCACUACGUCUAAGGAUGGCAGCAGGCGCGCAAAUUACCCACUCUCGGCUCGAGGAGGUAGUGACGAGAAAUAACGAGACCGUUCUCAUUGAGGCCGGUCAUCGGAAUGGGUACAAUUUAAACCCUUUAACGAGUAUCAAGGAGAGGGCAAGUCUGGUGCCAGCAGCCGCGGUAAUUCCAGCUUCUCCUAAUGCAUAGAAUUAUUGCUGCGGUUAAAAAGCUCGUAGUUGGAUUCGUAUCGAUACUCUGGAACCCUUCGGGUGUUUCUGGAUGUUAUCGAUUUUAUCGUAAUGUUCGGUUUUGAGUCCUUAACAGGAUUCUUAACAGGCAUUGCAAGUUUACUUUGAACAAAUCAGAGUGCUUCAAACAGGCGUAUUCGCUUGAAUGAUCGUGCAUGGAAUAAUAGAAAACGAUUUCGGUUCAGUUUUAUUGGUUUUACGGACUGAGAUAAUGGUUAACAGAGACAAACGGGGGCAUUUGUAUGGCCACGUGAGAGGUGAAAUUCUUGGACCGUGGCCAGACAAACUACAGCGAAAGCAUUUGCCAAGAAUGUCUUCAUUAAUCAAGAACGAAAGUCAGAGGUUCGAAGGCGAUCAGAUACCGCCCUAGUUCUGACCGUAAACGAUGCCAACUAGCGAUCCGCCGAUGGAGAUUAUAAUUGCCUUGGUGGGGAGCUUCCCGGAAACGAAAGUCUUCCGGUUCCGGGGGAAGUAUGGUUGCAAAGCUGAAACUUAAAGGAAUUGACGGAAGGGCACCACCAGGAGUGGAGCCUGCGGCUUAAUUUGACUCAACACGGGAAAACUCACCCGGCCCGGACACUGUGAGGAUUGACAGAUUGAUAGCUUUUUCAUGAUUCAGUGGAUGGUGGUGCAUGGCCGUUCUUAGUUCGUGGAGUGAUUUGUCUGGUUUAUUCCGAUAACGAGCGAGACUCUAACCUACUAAAUAGUUGAUAUUUUUUUAUAAGAGUAUACAACUUCUUAGAGGGAUUUGCGGUGUUUAGCCGAAAGAAAUUGAGCAAUAACAGGUCUGUGAUGCCCUUAGAUGUCCGGGGCUGCACGCGCGCUACACUGGCAAAAUCAACGUGCUUGUCCUUCCCCGAAAGGGGCGGGUAAACCAUUGAAAAUUUGCCGUGAUUGGGAUCGGAAAUUGCAAUUAUUUUCCGUGAACGAGGAAUUCCAAGUAAGUGCGAGUCAUCAGCUCGCGUUGAUUACGUCCCUGCCCUUUGUACACACCGCCCGUCGCUGCCCGGGACUGAGCCAUUUCGAGAAAUUUGGGGACCGUUAAUUAAACAUUUAUUUGUUUUUUUGAUGGAAACCAAUUUAAUCGCAGUGGCUUGAACCGGGCAAAAGUCGUAACAAGGUAGCUGUAGGUGAACCUGCUGCUGGAUCAUUACUUUUAUUGUAAUGCUUUACAUUUGAAUGUUCGCAUCAACUUUUGUGUUGAUGUGUAACGGCUGCCGCUGGUGUCUAGGUGUUGCUGAUUCAGCUGUGAGCGUCCGUGGCUGAAUAUGAGGUAACAUGUUAGGAUUUUUUUCUCUUUAUGGAGAAUAAUCGUAAGACUUAAUGAGCCUCUUAAGUGAGGACGCCAGCAACUAUUUUUUUUAAAUAAAUUUUUUUAUUUUUCAAAUGAAAAUAAAUUAACCUUACCGGUGGAUCACUCGGCUCGU
rnacentral:rRNA from 1 species